rnacentral:rRNA from 1 species
AUUGAACGCUGGCGGCAUGCCUUACACAUGCAAGUCGAACGGUAACAGGUUAAGCUGACGAGUGGCGAACGGGUGAGUAAUGUAUCGGAACGUGCCCAGUCGUGGGGGAUAACUGCUCGAAAGAGCAGCUAAUACCGCAUACGACCUGAGGGUGAAAGCGGGGGAUCGCAAGACCUCGCGCGAUUGGAGCGGCCGAUAUCAGAUUAGGUAGUUGGUGAGGUAAAGGCUCACCAAGCCGACGAUCUGUAGCUGGACUGAGAGGACGACCAGCCACACUGGGACUGAGUCACGGCCCAGACUCCUACGGGAGGCAGCAGUGGGGAAUUUUGGACAAUGGGCGCAAGCCUGAUCCAGCCAUGCCGCGUGCGGGAAGAAGGCCUUCGGGUUGUAAACCGCUUUUGUCAGGGAAGAAAAGGUUCUGGCUAAUACCUGGGACUCAUGACGGUACCUGAAGAAUAAGCACCGGCUAACUACGUG